AGAGUUUGAUCCGUGGCUCAGAACGAACGUUAGCGGUGUGGAUUAGGCAUGCAAGUCGUGCGCGAAAGCCUUCGGGCGAGUAAAGCGGCGAACGGGUGAGUAACACGUAAUCAACCUACCCUUGAGAUCGGGAUAGCCUCUGGAAACGGUGGGUAAUACCGAAUGGUCUCUGACCGUGGCCUCACGGACAGAGUAAACGGUGGCUUCGGCUGCUGCUCGGGGAGGGGAUUGCGGCCUAUCAGCUUGUUGGUGAGGUAAUGGCUCACCAAGGCUAUGACGGGUAGCCGGUCUGAGAGGACGACCGGUCACACUGGGACUGAGACACUGCCCAGACUCCUACGGGAGGCUGCAGUCGAGAAUCUUCCGCAAUGGGCGAAAGCCUGACGGAGCGACACCGCGUGUAGGAUGAAGGCCCUCGGGUUGUAAACUACUGUCACGCCGUAUGAAUGCCCUGUCGUUAAUAGCUUCAGGGUUGACGUCAAGGCGAGAGGAAGCACGCUAACUACGUGCCAGCAGCCGCGGUAAUACGGAGGGUGCAAACGUUGUUCGGAAUCACUGGGCAUAAAGCGCACGUAGGCGGUUCUGCCAGUCUGAUGUGAAAGCCCUCGGCUCAACCGGGGAACUGCAUUGGAUACUACAGAACUAGAGGACGGUUGGGGUGAGUGGAACUCCUGGUGGAGCGGUGAAAUGCGUAGAUAUCAGGAGGAACACCAGUGGCGAAAGCGGCUCACUGGACCGUAACUGACGCUGAGGUGCGAAAGCUAGGGGAGCGAACGGGAUUAGAUACCCCGGUAGUCCUAGCCGUAAACGAUGGGUACUAGGUUGAGGGGAUACCUAUGGUCUUCUCAGCCGCAGCAAAUGUGAUAAGUACCCCGCCUGGGGAGUACGCUCGCAAGGGUAAAACUCAAAGGAAUUGACGGGGGCUCACACAAGCGGUGGAGCAUGUGGUUUAAUUCGAAUCAACGCGAAGAACCUUACCUAGCCUUGAUCUAUGAAUUAGCCCUAUGAAAGUAGGGUGACACUCCUUCGGGAGCGGAACAUAGACAGGUGUUGCAUGGCUGUCGUCAGCUCGUGUCGUGAGAUGUUGGGUUAAGUCCCGUAACGAGCGCAACCCUUGUCGUUAGUUGCCAGCGCGUAAUGGCGGGGACUCUAGCGAGACUGCCGGUGUCAAACCGGAGGAAGGUGGGGACGACGUCAAGUCAUCAUGGCCCUUAUGGCUAGGGCGACACACGUGCUACAAUGGCCUGUACAGAGGGUUCCGAUAUCGCAAGAUGGAGGCAAUCCCACAAAGCAGGCCCCAGUUCGGAUUGCAGGCUGCAAUUCGCCUGCAUGAAGCCGGAAUCGCUAGUAAUCGCGUAUCAGCCACGACGCGGUGAAUAUGUUCCUGAGCCUUGUACACACUGCCCGUCAAGCCACGAAAGCGGGGAGUGCUCGAAGUCGUCAUGCCUAACCUUCGGGAGGGCAACGCCGAAAGCAAGCUCCGUGAUUGGGACUGUCGUAACAAGGUAGCCGUAGGGGAACCUGCGGCUGGAUCACCUCCUU
rnacentral:rRNA from 1 species